GACGAACGCUGGCGGCGUGCUUAACACAUGCAGGUCGAACGAUGAACUUGGAGCUUGCUCUGGGGGAUUAGUGGCGAACGGGUGAGUAACACGUGAGUAACCUGCCCUGGACUCUGGGAUAACUUCGAGAAAUCGGAGCUAAUACCGGAUAGGACCUUGCACCGCAUGGUGUGGGGUGGAAAGUUUUUCGGUUUGGGAUGGACUCGCGGCCUAUCAGCUUGUUGGUGAGGUAAUGGCUCACCAAGGCGUCGACGGGUAGCCGGCCUGAGAGGGUGACCGGCCACACUGGGACCGAGACACGGCCCAGACUCCUACGGGAGGCAGCAGUGGGGAAUAUUGCACAAUGGGCGCAAGCCUGAUGCAGCAACGCCGCGUGCGGGAUGACGGCCUUCGGGUUGUAAACCGCUUUUAGUAGGGAAGUAGCCUUCGGGUGACGGUACCUGCAGAAAAAGGACCGGCUAACUACGUGCCAGCCGCCGCGGUAAUAC
rnacentral:rRNA from 1 species